rnacentral:tRNA from 1 species
UGGUCUGUAGCUUAGUUGUGUAAAGCCCUAAACUAGCGAUACGGAGUCGUGGGUUCAAAUCCCACAAAAACAA